ACUACACUAGUCCAAUGGUUCGCGAUUUGACUAGAACAAAUGAAGACCGAUUAACGAUCAUCAAUACAGGAAUUAAAAUGUUCGCGCGCAGUGAAAACAAAGGCAUCGAUUGUGGAUAUCGUAUCGCCCAGGAGGGUGCGCUAGCAAUGAUGGAGUUCAUGAAGAAGAGACGAGUACUAAUCGCAAGAGAUGAUAUCGUCGUCUGCUGAGUCGCGCCCACUGAGGCAGCACCAAAUUUAGCUCCCGACAAUUUCAAUGAUUCUAGUAGU